UGGCUGCCACCAGGUGAAUGCCUGUGCCCUGGCGUCCUGGGGCCCAGAGGACCGGGAGCUUCCAUCAAGAGGCUGCCUCCCAGCACCAAGGCCAGAGAGUGGCCAGGGGAGGCUAAGUACAGGGAUUUCUCAGAAUGGUGGAAGGAGCUCAGCCCAGCCUUGCCCAAGAUGUAUUGCAGGGGAAUCUGUAAGUGCAUUAACC
rnacentral:lncRNA from 1 species